UACGAAGGGGGCUAGCGUUGCUCGGAAUCACUGGGCGUAAAGGGUGCGUAGGCGGGUCUUUAAGUCAGGGGUGAAAUCCUGGAGCUCAACUCCAGAACUGCCUUUGAUACUGAAGAUCUUGAGUUCGGGAGAGGUGAGUGGAACUGCGAGUGUAGAGGUGAAAUUCGUAGAUAUUCGCAAGAACACCAGUGGCGAAGGCGGCCCACUGGCCCGAUACUGACGCUGAGGCACGAAAGCGUGGGGAGCAAACAGG
rnacentral:rRNA from 1 species